rnacentral:piRNA from 2 species
UGUAUAUUGGGUGCACUUCGUUUUU